rnacentral:rRNA from 1 species
CCCGAUCCCAUUCCGAACUCGGAAGUUAAGCCUUCUAACGCCGAUGAUACUGCCCCUCAAAGAGGUGGGAAAGUAGGAAGCCGCCAAGC